UACAGAGGUCUCGAGCGUUAGGCGGAAUCACUGGGCUUAAAGCGUGUGUAGGCGGAUCGUUAAGUACCUUGUGAAAUCCCACGGCUUAACCGUGGAACUGCUUGGUAUACUGGCGGUCUUGAGCCAGCUAGGGGGCUACCGGAACAAAUGGUGGAGCGGUGAAAUGCGUAGAUAUCAAUUUGGAACGCCAAUGGUGAAAACAGGUAGCUGGGGGCUGUGG
rnacentral:rRNA from 1 species